UUUUGAGCUAUUUUCUCUCAAUUCAUGCCUUGUGUUUUCAUUUUCUUAACAUUAUCCUUUUUUAAAAAACAAAUAUUUUCAAUUUUGGUGCUAAACAUUCUCUCUAAGCACUAUUUUAUCUGUAGCCCCCCAAUUCUAAUAUAUAAUGUUUUCAUUGAAAUACACUUCAAAAUACUUUCUGAAUACUAAGUAUUUCAUCACUUCUCAACCCUCAGUCCUCUUUCUUCAAUCAAAUCCAAAGAAAGAGACAGAAAAACUAUCAAUUGGGUAAUGGUGCUUAACAAUUUUCAAAACAUUUCUUCACUUUAUUGAAACCUACCAAUACUAUUAAUCUCCUUUACAGAGGAGGGAAUUAUAGCUCAGGAAAUUAAAAUAACUUGCCCAGUGAAUAAAGUACAGCGAAAUAUCAGUAAAGGCAAAUUCAAACCUUACUCAGGUCAUCUGACUCUAAAUCUCAUCCUCUUUCUACUGUAUUUUAUCCAGAUCUCUAAAAUUCUAAGGUAAAGCCUUUUUGCAAGUUAAAUUUCUAAGACAGUUUGCAUUUUAAAAGAUGACCUUCCAGUGUAUCCCAAGGAUUCUCAGAUGUCUAAAUGUGGUGAUGUCAGGCACGGAAGCUCUAGAAAAGCAGUCAAUAUCUUUGCCUAUCCAGUGCUCUCUGAUCUUUGAAAGCACCCUCUGAGGGCAGCCCUAGCCACAGUUCAUCUACCAUGAUCCAGGUGAGUCACAUUUCAUCUCUGCUGAGCAAUUUCAGUGGCCUGGCAAAUGGUUCUCAAGUUGGCACUUAGAAGACUCCCCUUGGGAGUGCCCGGGGAUUGCCUGGUGCAAUCCGUAUGGAAUGAAAUACAGGAAUCUGUAUUUCUUGACACGUAUUUUAGGUAAUUCUGAUGCAGGAUGUGAGUGGAUCAUCCUAAACUGGUCAAGAGGGGGUACAGGGUAGGGGUCAGGUAGGAGGAGAGGAGACAGCAGGGCAGGCAGAGGACUGCUUGUAAAGUGCCUUGUCAGCCCUCUUAGGAAUUUAAAUUUUAUCCUGAGAGUGAUCAGGAAUAAUUGAGGCUUUUAAGCAGAGGAGUCACACAAUUUACACUUAAGUCACACACAUUUACACUUAAGAAACAUCACAAUGGUGGAAUGUAGAGAACAGAUGAGAGGGGAGAGAAAUGAUGCCAUGGCUACAGCAAUGCUGGCGGGAGACAGUGGCAGUUUGCACCAUGACAGCAGUGGCAGGGAUGGGAAGACUUUAAGACAGAAAAAGCAUUAACAUACAUGAAGAGACAACACGCAUUCAAAGGGUUCAAUGAAAUGGAAAACAUAUCAAAAAACCUAAUGUAAACUGUUAGUGACGGUCUAUAAACAAGAAAGCAGCCUAACCCUAAAAUAGUGAUCUGGGGUCCAAGGGAGAACUCCUCACCCACAGGACCUCUUGUCCCUUGAGCUUCCUUGACACUGUCCUUUCCAGAGACUUAUUGUUUAUGUUAAUAAAAGGAAUUUACUGCCUUGGAUCAUAAAAGGUCGCUGCUCAGCCCGGGAUCCGGCAACCACAUUAACAACAGCCGCAUUUUUCAGCAGAGGCCUCACAAAAGCAGUUUUAUGGUUCUCUCUCAUGAAAGCCCUUCCCAGGCAGCCCCAGAGUCCCCUGUUGCACUUGGUUUAAGGGCUCAGGUGCUCUGCACUUCAUUAUAGCAUCACCACUCAGCGUGCUAUAAAGCUCAGGAAUGAACUUUGUCCCACGUCCAGCGUGAAAUGCAUUCAGAGAAACCUUGGCGUGGACGGCCACCUUUAGUCCUGGGACUCUGCGCACAUUGCUCUCGUGAGUAAUGUAAAUCCAAUCUGUGGAGAUAUAUAUACACACACACUAUUUAUUCUGUCCAAUAAUGUUUUUAAUCAUAUCAUAUGUCAUCUCCCUGAGGCUGGUACAAAAGGUUAUAGGGUUCAACUCUCACUGAGGUUGCCUCUUGAUUAAGUCAAGUAUAUUUUUAACUUAUGUGGUUUCUUAUUAGUUUUCUAAGCAACAUCACAAUCCAAUAAAGUGGUAACAAUUUCCUUUGUAUUCAGUUAAAGGAAGAAAAUUGUUAGGGGAAUAAAGGGGUGAUGCUUACCAGAAAAGCACAAACAAGAAAAGGGGAGUAGAGGGAAGACUGAGAAGUCACUGAAAUUAGCAAAUAGGAAGAAGAGGCCAGUUUUAAGAGAGAGUGAGGAGCUGCAGGGACAAUGGUUCUCACCCCUGACCUCACCCUGCCAUCACCUGGGAACCCUUAGAGACUAAAGAGCCCCACCCAGACCAAUUAGCUCAUAACUCCUGGGUGGGGCCCCAGGCAAAGGCAUGCCUUUAAAACUCUACACACCUCUCUAAUGUGCAGAACUGGGAACCCACUUCUAUAGCAAAUGUAAGAGGACUGACAUGGAAUUUUCAGCAUCCAAGAAUUCCUACUUGAUGUGCUGUGGUGCAAGAAUUAAUCCAAGGUCAAACACCGACCCAUCUCCACCUCAGUUGGUGCCCAGCAGGCUGAUUUAUACGGACUCCAUCAAGGGACUUAACAUUUGGACAGGCCACUCUGGGGCAUCGUAUGUUGUCUCUCCCUCUCCGCUCCAUCAAAACUUUUGUCUGUGUGUUCCUGUGAGAGAAUAUAGAAGUAAAUAUCCCCCUUCGCAAAGUCCCCGUACCUAUGGGGACAUGGAACACUAAUCGAGAGCCCCAGGAAGCCAAUCAGUGCCAGUCAAGGGGCAAGCGACGGCAAUGGCGUCAUUACAAUUGCCCCGUGUACGUUGUCUCACCCAGCGCGUUGCAAAGCCUUCAGCAAACUCUUGCAAUCCAACCUGACACCAGCAUGUGGAUUCUUCCCACCCAAGGUCCUGCCCUGGAGGAAAUCAGGAGUGGAAGAGAUCAGUGCUGGAGGUCGGGGAUGGGGCACCUCUCUCAGCCUCAGAGGCCAACUCCAGCCAAGGAGGUUGGCCAGACCCUGGCACAAACCAGGCAGUGGACAUCACUGAGAGAGGUUCAAGCCAGCAGGCAGGACCGAAAGCCUAACUACAUACAGUGGUUACCAUGAGAAGAUUCCAGAGUAUGGGCCCCAAACACGGUGGGAUCCCACCAGUGGGCACGGGGUUUCGGAAGGAAGUAGGGAGUACAGGAUUGGGGAACUGGCACCAAGAAGAACCAGCAGGUGCUAAUCCGUGGUUCA